ACAAUGAAGAGUUUGAUCCUGGCUCAGGAUGAACGCUAGCGGCAGGCUUAACACAUGCAAGUCGAGGGGUAACAUUGUAGCUUGCUACAGAUGACGACCGGCGAACGGGUGCGUAACGCGUAUAGAAUCUGCCUUGUA
rnacentral:ncRNA from 1 species